rnacentral:rRNA from 1 species
UACAGAGGGUGCGAGCGUUAAUCGGAAUUACUGGGCGUAAAGGGCGUGUAGGUGGUUAGAUAAGAUCGAUGUGAAAUCCCUGGUCUUAACCUAGGAACUGCAUUGAAGACUGUCUAGCUAGAGUAUUGUAGAGGGCAGUGGAAUUUCCGGUGUAGCGGUGAAAUGCGUAGAGAUCGGAAGGAACACCAGUGGCGAAGGCGGCUGCCUGGACAAAUACUGACACUGAGGCGCGAGAGCGUGGGGAGCAAACAGG